rnacentral:rRNA from 1 species
UGUAAGCGUAUACCAAAGUUGUUGCAGUUAAAACGCUCGUAGUCGGAAUUUGGCAGUUCCGGAAGUGUGCACGUCGUGUGCGCACUUUGCGGGGACUGCUUUUGUGGUCUUGCGUAGGAUGAGGCACUUUCAUUAGUGAACGUCCUCACGCAACCACUUUUUACUGUGAGAAAAUCAGAGUGCUCAAAGCAGGCAUUUGCCGUGAAUGUAUUAGCAUGGAAUAAUAGAAUAGGACUUGGUUCUAUUUUGUUGGUUUGUUGGGACUGAGUAAUGAUUAAGAGGGACAGUUGGGGGCAUUUGUAUUUCGGUGCUAGAGGUGAAAUUCUUAGAUUACCGAAAGACAAACUGCUGCGAAAGCGUCUGCCAAGGAUGUUUUCAUUGA